AGUGAACGCUGGCGGUAGGCCUAACACAUGCAAGUCGAACGGCAGCACAGUAAGAGCUUGCUCUUACGGGUGGCGAGUGGCGGACGGGUGAGGAAUACAUCGGAAUCUACUUUUUCGUGGGGGAUAACGUAGGGAAACUUACGCUAAUACCGCAUACGACCUACGGGUGAAAGCAGGGGAUCUUCGGACCUUGCGCGAUUGAAUGAGCCGAUGUCGGAUUAGCUAGUUGGCGGGGUAAAGGCCCACCAAGGCGACGAUCCGUAGCUGGUCUGAGAGGAUGAUCAGCCACACUGCAACUGAGACACGGUCCAGACUCCUACGGGAGGCAGCAGUGGGGAAUAUUGGACAAUGGGCGCAAGCCUGAUCCAGCCAUACCGCGUGGGUGAAGAAGGCCUUCGGGUUGUAAAGCCCUUUUGUUGGGAAAGAAAAGCAGCAGGUUAAUACCCCGCUGUUCUGACGGUACCCAAAGAAUAAACACCGGCUAACUUCGU
rnacentral:rRNA from 1 species